UACAGAGGGUGCUAGCGUUGUUCGGAAUCACUGGGCGUAAAGGGUGCGUAGGCGGGUUUUUAAGUCAGGGGUGAAAUCCUGGAGCUCAACUCCAGAACUGCCUUUGAUACUGAAGAUCUCGAGUCCGGGAGAGGUGAGUGGAACUGCGAGUGUAGAGGUGAAAUUCGUAGAUAUUCGCAAGAACACCAGUGGCGAAGGCGGCUCACUGGCCCGGUACUGACGCUGAGGCACGAAAGCGUGGGGAGCAAACAGG
rnacentral:rRNA from 1 species